GACGAACGCUGGCGGCGUGCUUAACACAUGCAAGUCGAACGGUGAAGCUCCAGCUUGCUGGAGUGGAUCAGUGGCGAACGGGUGAGUAACACGUGAGCAACCUGCCCCUGACUCUGGAAUAAGCGCUGGAAACGGCGUCUAAUACUGGAUACGAGAAGGGUCCGCAUGGGCACUUUCUGGAAAGUUUUUCGGUUGGGGAUGGGCUCGCGGCCUAUCAGCUUGUUGGUGAGGUAAUGGCUCACCAAGGCGACGACGGGUAGCCGGCCUGAGAGGGCGACCGGCCACUCUGGGACUGAGACACGGCCCAGACUCCUACGGGAGGCAGCAGUGGGGAAUAUUGCACAAUGGGCGAAAGCCUGAUGCAGCGACGCCGCGUGAGGGAUGACGGCCUUCGGGUUGUAAACCUCUUUCAGCAGGGAAGAAGCGAAAGUGACGGUACCUGCAGAAGAAGCACCGGCUAACUACGUG
rnacentral:rRNA from 1 species